GUUUUUGUUUGAAAAUACCAUACAAAACUAAAAGAAUUUGUCACAUCCCCUUGUGUCUCUGGAGAAAAAAAAAAAAGAAGUCUGCUUCAUUCACCAACCACCUCUAUAUUCAUUAUUAUUACGGUGUGUGAAUGAGAAGCACUAACCAGUUCUAUUUACACUUUCCAAAACAGCAGAAAAUGUGCUUGGUUUACAAACGUCUCUGAACAGGAAGGUGUGUGAAUUGUCCCUUAUCUAGAUUGUUCUCCAGGGUUUAUCCUGUGUUGGCACACUCUGUAAACCCCACGCCAAACAGCACACGCAUAGCAUGGGUGUCAUGGCAAAUGUAUCAACAUACACAAAAAACAAACAGAGGAAGUGGUUAAUGAAU